rnacentral:rRNA from 1 species
UCUGGUUGAUCCUGGCAGAGGUCACUGCUAUCGGUGUUCGUCUAAGCCAUGCGAGUCAUAUGUUCUUCGUGAACAUGGCGUACUGCUCAGUAACACGUGGAUAACCUGCCCUUGGGUUCGGCAUAACCCCGGGAAACUGGGGAUAAUACCGGAUAACGCAUAUAUGCUGGAAUUCUUUAUGCGUAAAAUGGAUUCGUCCGCCCAAGGAUGGGUCUGCGGCCUAUCAGGUAGUAGUGGGUGUAAUGUACCUACUAGCCGACGACGGGUACGGGUUGUGAGAGCAAGAGCCCGGAGAUGGAUUCUGAGACAUGAAUCCAGGCCCUACGGGGCGCAGCAGGCGCGAAAACUUUACAAUGCGGGAAACCGUGAUAAGGGGACACCGAGUGCCAGCAUCACAUGCUGGCUGUCCGGGUGUGUAAAAUACACCUGUUAGCAAGGGCCGGGCAAGACCGGUGCCAGCCGCCGCGGUAACACCGGCGGCCCGAGUGGUGAUCGUGUUUAUUGGGUCUAAAGGGUCCGUAGCCGGUUUGGUCAGUCCUCCGGGAAAUCUGACGGCUUAACCGUUAGGCUUUCGGGGGAUACUGCCAGACUUGGAACCGGGAGAGGUAAGAGGUACUACAGGGGUAGGAGUGAAAUCUUGUAAUCCCUGUGGGACCACCUGUGGCGAAGGCGUCUUACCAGAACGGGUUCGACGGUGAGGGACGAAAGCUGGGGGCACGAACCGGAUUAGAUACCCGGGUAGUCCCAGCCGUAAACGAUGCUUGCUAGGUGUCAGGCAUGGCGCGACCGUGUCUGGUGCCGCAGGGAAGCCGUGAAGCGAGCCACCUGGGAAGUACGGCCGCAAGGCUGAAACUUAAAGGAAUUGGCGGGGGAGCACAACAGCGGGUGAGCCUGCGGUUUAAUUGGACUCAACGCCGGACAACUCACCGGGGGCGACAGCAAUAUGUAGGUCAGGCUGAAGACCUUGCCUGAAUCGCUGAGAGGAGGUGCAUGGCCGUCGCCAGUUCGUACUGUGAAGCAUCCUGUUAAGUCAGGCAACGAGCGAGACCCA